rnacentral:sRNA from 1 species
GGAUGUAAGGGUGAUCUGGGUACAACUUCUGUCACCCCAUUGAUCAUCAGAUUUGAUUCCAUUGCUCUGGUUGACUAAGCAUGUGUCUUUGUCCUCCAUCCCUGCUCCAUGUGCUUCCUUCCUGAACCUGUGUGCUCCAAGAGGACAGCCUUCCCCUGUAGAGGAGGACCAUUCUUGGGCCAAGGGUCUAAUUAAAACAAUUAAACAAGAGAUGAUAGAUAGAUGAUAGAUAGAUAGAUAGAUAGAUGAUAGAUAGAUAGAUGAUAGAUAGAUGAUAGAUAGAAAUUUCACUUCUGUUCAAU